rnacentral:rRNA from 1 species
CCUACGGGUGGCAGCAGUGGGGAAUAUUGCACAAUGGGGGAAACCCUGAUGCAGCAACGCCGCGUGAGUGAAGAAGGUCUUCGGAUUGUAAAGCUCUGUUCGUAGGGAAGAUAAUGACGGUAGCCGAUGAUAAAGCUCCGGCUAACUACGUGCCAGCAGCCGCGGUAAUACGUAGGGAGCGAGCGUUAUCCGGAUUUACUGGGUGUAAAGGGUGCGCAGACGGCACGGCAAGUCAGGCGUGAAAGGUAGGGGCUCAACCCCUAAAUUGCGCUUGAAACUGUGGAGCUAGAGUGAAGUAGAGGCAAGCGGAAUUCCUGGUGUAGCGGUGAAAUGCGUAGAGAUCGGGAGGAACACCAGUGGCGAAGGCGGCCUACUGGGCUUUAACUGACGUUCAGGCACGAAAGCAUGGGUAGCAAACAGGAUUAGAUACCCUAGUAGUC